AUUUGAAGGCCAACGCGGAGUAUACUGGCUAUACAGCAGCAUCUGGUGUUAUUCAAUGGUUUUGGGAGGUUGUUACGGCUUUCAGCAAGGAAGAUAUGGCAAGACUACUGCAAUUUGUCACUGGAAUGUCGAAUGUAAUUUAUUGCACUAUACAUGAAAUGGUAGUUCGAUGCACAACAUAAUAUAAGUGGACUCAUAUGUUUGGCAUGUUCCUUUGGAGGGUUUCAAGGCUUUGCAAGGUAUUUCCAGUCCUCAAAGGUUUCAGAUUCACAAGGCAUAUGGAGCUCCUGACCGGCUGCCCUCAGCUGAUACAUGCUUUAAUCAGCUUGACCUUCACAAGUAUACCUCA